GCGAACGGGGAGGAGCCCAGAGUCUGAAUCAGUGUGUGUGUUAGUGGAAGCGUCUGGAAAGGCGCGCGAUACAGGGUGACAGCCCCGUACACAAAAAUGCACAUACUGUGAGCUCGAUGAGUAGGGCGGGACACGUGGUAUCCUGUCUGAAUAUGGGGGGACCAUCCUCCAAGGCUAAAUACUCCUGACUGACCGAUAGUGAACCAGUACCGUGAGGGAAAGGCGAAAAGAACCCCGGCGAGGGGAGUGAAAAAGAACCUGAAACCGUGUACGUACAAGCAGUGGGAGCCUCUUUUAUGGGGUGACUGCGUACCUUUUGUAUAAUGGGUCAGCGACUUAUAUUCUGUAGCAAGGUUAACCGAAUAGGGGAGCCGAAGGGAAACCGAGUCUUAACUGGGCGUUAAGUUGCAGGGUAUAGACCCGAAACCCGGUGAUCUAGCCAUGGGCAGGUUGAAGGUUGGGUAACACUAACUGGAGGACCGAACCGACUAAUGUUGAAAAAUUAGCGGAUGACUUGUGGCUGGGGGUGAAAGGCCAAUCAAACCGGGAGAUAGCUGGUUCUCCCCGAAAGCUAUUUAGGUAGCGCCUCGUGAAUUCAUCUCCGGGGGUAGAGCACUGUUUCGGCAAGGGGGUCAUCCCGACUUACCAACCCGAUGCAAACUGCGAAUACCGGAGAAUGUUAUCACGGGAGACACACGGCGGGUGCUAACGUCCGUCGUGAAGAGGGAAACAACCCAGACCGCCAGCUAAGGUCCCAAAGUCAUGGUUAAGUGGGAAACGAUGUGGGAAGGCCCAGACAGCCAGGAUGUUGGCUUAGAAGCAGCCAUCAUUUAAAGAAAGCGUAAUAGCUCACUGGUCGAGUCGGCCUGCGCGGAAGAUGUAACGGGGCUAAACCAUGCACCGAAGCUGCGGCAGCGACGCUUAUGCGUUGUUGGGUA
rnacentral:rRNA from 1 species